AGAUAAUCCAGGCGUACCCGUUGACAGUAGGAAUGCUAAUCUUAAUACCUACAGUUCGUAAAGAGCGGCCAGUGAGAUUAAUAGUCGUGAAUUGUAUUUACUAGCGGUAAAAAGAAGUUUAAGUAUCUUAGAAUUGUCGUUCUCCGAUACACCUGAGUAUUUAAACACAGACCCCAGAUUAAAAAAAGUUCAGAUAAAGAAAUCCUACUACAUCAAGAACUUAGCGAUAUAUGCGGCCAAGAUGCAUCCAUAAGAUCAGCUAGUGGUGCAGAAGAAACGCACUAUAGCCAAAGUUCUGUGCAGGAUAACGCAAGACCUCAUAUUGCCCGUGAAACCAUAGAGUUCAUACAAGAAUCUGGUAUAGUGACUUUGGAGUGGCUAUCAAGAUUAGCUGAUUUGUCAACAAUUGAACAUGUGUGGAAUAAUAUGGUAGGUCGAAACAUAAAUCAUAAAUCGAUUGCCACUUCCUCCAACAAACUUAGAAGACCUGUGGCAUGCCAUAAGAAUCUAGAUGAGUAUUUCGCAUUAUGAUAUAGACCACUUAAUUAGAUCUAUGCCCUAUAAAGUAACUGAGUGUAUAGAAAUAGAAAACCACUCAUUAUUUAUUUUUUGACGAAAUAUUAUAAUGUAUACUUAUAUAAAUAAAUAUUUAAAAAAAUA
rnacentral:misc_RNA from 1 species